UUGCGAGGGCAAGUCUGGUGCCAGCAGCCGCGGUAAUUCCAGCUCCAAUAGCGUAUAUUAAAGUUGUUGCAGUUAAAAAGCUCGUAGUUGAAUUUCGGGGUCAGCAGGUUGGUCGUGCCUCUGGUACGCACUGGUUUCGCUGAUUCCUCCUUUCUGAAGAACUGUAAUGUCAUUAAUUUGGUGUUGCAGGGAAACAGGACUGUUACUUUGAAAAAAUUAGAGUGUUUAAAGCAAGCUAACGCUUGAAUACAUUAGCAUGGAAUAAUGAAAUAGGACGUUUGAUCCUAUUUUGUUGGUUUCUAGGAUUGACGUAAUGAUUAAUAGGGAUAGUUGGGGGCAUUAGUAUUCAAUUGUCAGAGGUGAAAUUCUUGGAUUUAUUGAAGACUAACUACUGCGAAAGCAUUUGCCAAGGAUGUUUUCAUUAAUCAAGAACGAAAGUUAGGGGAUCGAAGACGAUCAGAUACCGUCGUAGUCUUAACCAUAAACUAUGCCGACUAGGGAUCGGAUGAUGUUAAUUUUUUAAUGACUCAUUCGGCGCCUUACGGGAAA
rnacentral:rRNA from 1 species